rnacentral:tRNA from 1 species
GCCCGGUUGGCGCAGCGGUAGCGCGUUCCCUUGACAUGGGAAAGGUCAUAGGUUCAAACCCUAUACCGGGCACCA